ensembl:lncRNA
GUCUUUUCUUGAAGUAAGAUUUUAGGAAGAUCCAUGUGAUGCAAAAUAGAUGACAUCAAUGCAGCUUUGGAUGAAAUUGAGAGAAGGACCCAUCCGCUCCAAGGUUCCAGUGUUCCUUGGCAACCACCAGAAAUGACUUCACAGAAGCCUAAACCCAGGGCCAAUUGAUCUUCAAAGACCCCUUACACUCUGUUCUUGGUUGUUCCAGCUUCAUCCUGGUCUGAAUCUCCGUCCUAUGAAUUGCCUUUCUGGGUUUCCUUCCUCAAGAGAAAAAUGGGGUUACUAAUGCCAACAGGAAGAAAUGAUAAGAAAACUAAACAUGGAGGUAGAAGAAUUGUUCCAACCCUGAGACUGCCAUUUAAUGAGUGUGUGAACUGGAGAAAGUCACUUACUAUCUCUCAGUCUGAAUUUACUCAUCCUACGACAUGAACUUGGCAAGGUACUAGUGAAAACUAGACUCCCAAGUCCAGCACUAGAAUUAGAAAAUCAGAAGGAGGAUGUGUGGGACAGGAGUUGAGGGACACAAAGAGUUGUAGCGUCCAUGCUACUUUUUGUUAUAACGUCAGAUCCUGGACAGAGCGGCAGCCAGAGAGUCUGAUCAGCCCCGGGUGUGGGAUCGGAGGCUGGCUGUAUCCUCUCUACUGAAUUUCAUUCAUCUGCGGCUUUUGAGCAAAAGGUGAAGCCUGAGAACAUGAACAAGAGGCCUAGAGCUGGGACAAUUGUUUUCCUCCCUCAACAUUGAUGAUAGAUAUUAUUUCUUUUGCCUCCUAAACCUCAGCUAGCAGUGGUUGACUUUUAAUAAAAAUGCAUGGUAGUUUUCAUCAGAGAAGCGAUUGACAAGGCUCCAGUCAACGUUUGUCUGGGAAGCUGCUUUGUGGUCCUUUUCCAUUAGGCCCCCACAGCAGUUAAAAUGUUAAGCUCCCUCUAGCUUCUGAAUUGGUUGCCCCUCCUCCCAAUUUGUAGCCUCUAAACUCUGCCUCAAUGUUUAUAUCUCAGUUCAAAUGGUACUUCCUCCCGGAAACAGACUUAGUGCCUUCUCCCUCCCAGCUCUUCUUGGUGUAUAGCCCCUUAUAAUAGUUAUGUUUUCUCGUUGUAGUUGUUUAUUUACCUUUCUCUCCUCUACAAUGUAAGGUCCUUGAAGCAGGGAUUUACUUUUCCCUCCUGUGUCCCCAAGGCCUGUCAACGUAUUUGGCAUAAACAUGUGAGCGAUCUUUUACAUACAGUAAUAAAUGAAAAAGUGAAAUAAAGAUUUACACCUUCCACAGCUCAUUGUUUUCUUCACAAAAGAUCUCAGGUGUGACCACCUCAUCUCCUAAUACAUUUCCUGUUAAAUGGUACCACGGAACGCAUCCCUUAUCCACUGAACAAUAUUUAUUGAGCACCUCCUCUGUGCCCAACUCCCCGCCAGGUGCUGGUGAUGCUGUGCUGGAAAAGAUGGGUGCGACCCUGACGUCAAAGACCACGGUCUUGGCCAUAUCUGCCUGGGAAACUCUAUGGCGUGUGGAAUUCCUACGAUAAAAAUGUCUCUUGUAACUUUCUUUUUCUCAUUCUAUGACGGUUCAAUUAUAGUUUUUUUUGUUAUUCCUGACAUAAGAUGAACACUCUCUCCAUUUUCCUGGCACAUGCCUAGCAUCGAUAUUUUCAUGGCAAUAAUGAGCACUCACCAUCUGAGGAAAAAUGGAAGAGGUUUUUAGCUGGCCAUCAGCUAGGGAAUCUCUGCCAGUGGUUUUUUACUUUGCUGGCUCAGAAUUGCCUCUUUCUUCCCUGAAACCACAGAUCAUCCUCUUGUAGAGCUGCUCUGAGCCAUUUGGAGGAGGAAAGAGGAAAGAGUCUGUGAGAGCGAAUACCAGCUCCUCAAAUGAUGCCUAGUUCCAUUUCAAUCAGCUGGUGAGGCCGGUGAGGCACAUAACAGUGGUGCAGAGAGCGCUAAGGAGGAGGCGUCUGGCUCUUGGACGUUGCAACAAGUUAUGGAUGGAAAGUUUCCUCCUGUCUGGGAAUUUUAACUAAAGCCUCCAGCUUAGUCUAACGGCUUUUUAAGUACCACUGCAUUCCAAAGGGAGGCACUAGAUUAGAUACCCACUUCUCCCCUGGCGGCUUGCUAAACAGCAUCUAAACCGUCCUAAAUCGCACUGGUAGUCUGUAAAAGAGAGCAGUAAGGUUUCAACAGAGGGGAGGAGAAGGCUUUUCUUUCAAGAGAACCCAGAGAGCACUGUGAUAUUUUGCUUCUCCUCUUGCUUCCUCCAUUUUUAAUCCAAGCAGUGGGGCUCUUGGAGGUAGACUUGUCGCUAUUGGUUGGUCUGUGAGGGGAAGGUUCAUAUCUCUCUGCAGGCUGGAUGCUCACUGAGCUCAGAUGUCUGCAGGUCUCCAGCCAGAGUAAAGAGACUGGUGGUACAUGUGAGGAUAAAGUUUGAACUCUCCCUCUUCUAAACAGAAGCUGGAUCAGAAAGGGGCUGCACCAUUCACAGAAGCAGGGAACAGGCGCAUGGGCAGCCUGCACUUCAGAGCUUGGUGGGGCGAGGAUAUGUGAGAUUUCUCCUGGACAGAGUGGGUUUAGGCUCAAGUCAUCUUGAAAAAUGCUCACUGCUGUCUGCCACAACAAGGGGAAUAAAAACAGGGAUGCCCUGAAGCGGGCAUGGCUUCAGAAGUUACUGGCAGUUAAGUCUGUAUCAGGUUGGGGAAAGAGUAGCUCAGAGAAACCCACCAAUAAAUGCCUUUAAAAGAUGAUGUCACCAACACGAUGGGCAUUGAAGGGCUGAGGGAGGAAUUCUGAUAGCACCUGGUAAAAGUGAAGUCCUCCGACCCAUUUGCUCUGACUACCCACCUCCUCUCUCCCUUUCUCAACCUUGGGAGAGCCAGAGGGUAGUGAUGGAGCUUAGGAAAGCAAAAGGAUAGACUGUGUCUCCCCUCCCGACUGCAGGUAAAGAGAAUCUCAAGUCAAGCCUGAAUUAUGGAGAGGGAUGAACUUUAAACUGAAUCUAAGAUUAAUUUACAAAAGUUUAGUUUGUACUGGAUUUUAUAAACCCUGAAAGUAACUAAAGAGUGUCAGUACCUUUUUGCAAUGCUGCCAAAUUGGUGUGGAAGGGACAUUGACAAGGGGGAUUUUAAGGCAGUGACGGAAAAGAAAUGAAGCCAUUUCCAGCUUUUACAUCGCUGUGCUCAGCCCUUUCAAUAGCCAUGCAAAUGACUCAAGCCUGGACUUCAAGCUUGAUUCUGGAUCAUUCCUCAGAUAGCGGAGGACUAAGGGGACCACGUGCAGUGUCUGGCCUAUGAGGGUAAAUUGUGUGGCAUAGCAGACACUGUGGGUGACCCACUCAUGUCCCCAUGGCACUUAUCUCACCCAACCAAAGCUUCUCACCUCCAUCUCCAAAAGGUGUUUGUUUUUCUGGGGAACGUCAAUACCACUGAUACCAGUAGAAGUUCCAAACAACACAACGUAAAAGAUUCAUGGUCAAAAAUGUGCCGUGAUCCUGGUGAAACUCUCAGGUUUCAUUAUAGUCCAAUGUCUCAGAAUUUUUCCAUAGAUCGCGGAGUAUUGUGAAUCUGUAAGAGAAGGAUAAGUAUAUGGUGUUUCCCAAACUUAUUUGGCCUAAAAACCUUUUGUUUUCCCCCAGAAAGCAUCCAAAGUGACCAGGAUUCCAUGGAGCCUACCUUGGGAAUACGGGUAGGGGAGAAAGAUUCUUGCCAGGAAGCCAUUGGGUACUCCUUCCCUCCUUUCUGGGGGCUGCCCUUAUUCAGCUAAAACUAUUUUCUGCCUAGUAGUAUUGCAGUCAUUUUAAAGAGGAACAAGCCAUAAGAUGUUGACUCAAGUCCUCAAGUCACAGGUUAGUUGCAAAAGAAGUCAUAGAACCCCAUCCUUGGACUCUUUCCCCUCAAUCUUGCUACCUGAUUAAAGCUUAAGAGUUUUCAACAUAUAUGCCAGAUCCUCAAUUCUGCCAGUGAGUUUAUAUCUUUGCAAAAGUAAAGAUGCGUAGCUGGGUGAGUUUGUAGGUGUGAUAUAAGCCUUAAGUUCCAGUAUCAUGUGCUGCCUUAAUAUCUGGUCAGACAAGGAGGGCUCAUCUGGCCUACUUGCAAAUUCCCAUCCCCACUUGGCUCCCAUGGAUAAGGUCCUCUAACCAAACUGUGUUCCUUGGCAAAGGGGUCAUGCACAGUUCCUGCUUGACCCUAAGAAGUAGGUUUCGGUUCCUGCCAACCCACAGAAUUAUCAAACAAGUCAAUCACAUCCUUCUCUGGGAGCCAGGGGCACAGCACUCUGUUGCCGUGUGCAGUGUCCUCCUCCCCUUGACUGUGAGUCUAAUAAACUGCUCUUGAUGUCACCUGUGCAGCGUCAGGUGUCCUGUGUUUUCCCAUCCCCAUAGCUCUAGGGUGAGAAUUUCUCCACCAUCAACAAGGUGAACAGUAGGUGAUUAAAAUACUGGUUUAUACAAAGUUCAGCCAAUAUUUGAACUUGUGAAUUAGAAGGCAUGUCAGUGACAUACAGAAUCAUAAAAAAAAUUUGUUUCUAGGACUUAGAAUAAAUCCAUGGCUGGUUGUCAUCAUCGGCUGGCUUUAGCACCAUAGACUAGAGGGCACUGGGCAGAUCUGUCCCAACCAGAAUGAUGUUAGUGACUAAAAUGAUUUAAAAUACGUGUUUUGAAGUCAGACUGAAUGGCAUUGAAAUCGCAGCUGUCACUUAAUAGGUGUAUGGACUUUGACAAGUUAUUUAAAUGCUCUCAGUCUCACUUUCACCAACUGUACAAUGGGAAAGAUCAUAAGACCCACAUCACAGAGUUACUAGGAAGAAUAAAUGAUGCCAGGUAAAGCACCUCACAAGGAUGGAGGACAUGGUAAGGGCCCAACAAGUGUCAGCUACAAAACAAGUGUUUAAACUACAAAAAAGUUUCUUAUAGAGAAGUAAAUAUCUCUGCAAGAAGUAACCAUGACACCAUCAUUUGUUUUAACCCAACAUGUGAAUUGACUCAUCAAAGCCUGCAGGUAUAUUUGGAACACUUGAUAAACGUGAAGUUUUUCAGUUGGUGAAGGGAGAGACAGAUAAAGAGGAAUCAUAUGUGUAGACGUGAAAACAUAGUCCGCCUGGAGACAUAGACAUAGAUGUAAAUACAGACAUAGAUUCUGGGAAGAGUAAGUGGUUCCAGAUGGGACCUUGAAGAGCUCUUAUUCCUGGAGUCGUUGGAGGAUAGUGAUUUCACUGGAGUCUUCAAGGUGAAGAGGCUAGAAGAGUAGAUUAUUAGAUCCUUGUUUGAAAGACAGCAGAGAUUUAAGAAAGAGGAUGAAAAAGUGUGCUAAUAGCAAGAAGAUCUUCACAAAUCAUGAUAAUAAAGAAGGGAGGUGGGGGAAUAAAACGAAUUAGAGAGAAAUCCAGCUGAAGCUCUCUCAGGAAGUUCGGAGUACAGGCUCCAGAAGCAGAGGGUUGUGAAGGUAGAAAGGCAGAUAUAGCUUUGGUGGAUUCUUUAGAAUAGAAGCCACAGGGCUACUUGAGCAUGUCAGGGGUUAAGGAGACUUCAAAACAGUGGAAAAAUACAAAGCUGAGAAACAACACAAACACGAAAAGUAGGCAAAGUAGGAAAAAGAGUUUUCUUUUUCAUUAAGAAUCAGUACCUGAUGAAAAUGAACAGAAUUUAUUAUUUUUUAAGAAAGAAUAAUAUUCUCACUUCUGAGAGAGAUAAAAGGGAAAGUGAAAUCAGAAAGACAGAGGGAAUACUAUUUACUAAAACGAUUGUGAUUUAAUGAGAAAGAAUUAAUGAAAUUACUUCCAAUUGUCCAAACAUCCUUUCUAUCUGAACAGCUCAGUUGCUCAUCUCACAGCUCUCAUCUCUGUCUAAUAUACAAGACUCCUGGACUGGCCACACAGCUCUCCAUUAAAUGAUAUUAAUGAUAUUGUUAGGUAAAUAGAACUAACGUUAAGAUGGUCGUGAGAAAUUUCUCUUUGUCUCUAAUACAAAAGAGCCAUGCGGGAAAAGCUAUUCACAUCACAAAUAGUCACCUGUGGGAAAGACUCAACCCUCUACUUCUAAACUAUUAAUCUGCUCGGGUCUGUUUGAUGUUAACGGCCUUCACAACAAAGGCAGGGCUAUUUCACCAUAGAGCCCAUUUAUCAGCUGUGUUUCCUAUGACAUAUUCAGAAUAAAACAAUGGAUUCCAACACGCUAUUAGGUCACUGAUAUGCUGAUUGUAAUAAAUGUUAAAAGUUUGCAAUUCCUUCCGUUUCACUAUUAUAUCAGCUUUUAGGUAUUCAUUUGUGGGGUUUUUUAAAAAAUAUGACACUCAUAAAAAGAAAUCAUUUCUCACAGCAAGGGAAAAUAAAUCUAAAGUGAAAACAGUAAUUUUGUAAUGUUUUCCUAAGAAUUUUGCUAUUCUUUUUCUACAGAUUAAUUCAUACCAGCUUUUAUCUUGUGGUUAAGUACAUAUCUUGUUAUUAAGUACAAUCGAGCAAAGCCCGAAAGCAUUACAAAUAUUAAGAAUUUUGGAAUCCCAACAGACUUCAAAACCUGGUAGAUUAAAUAUGAUUUGGUCAUUGAAUUUAGACUAUUCCUUGAAAACUGUAUGUUGUGAAUUUAAAAUCAUGACAUGAGGCUUUCAGCUCGAGGCCUGGGUAAUGAUAUAUUUUCUUAAUAAUUCGCAAAAUGGUGACUAGGAGUCUUGGAGAAAUUGAUUUAUCUUUCAGAACACAAAACAUAGUCUGGACAAUAAUUUGGCUAUGACUGUUCCCUAAUCUGAAAAAUUGCUAUAUUUACCACACAUUAUAUUCUCCUUCACUUCCUUUAUCGUCUCAAGGAUCCAGAGUUGGUAAGAGGUCAUCUGUUUGAUCGUUCCUUCACUCAGCAGACAUCUAUCAAACCUACUGAGUGCCAGGCACUGGAAUAGGCGUUACCGAUGCUCCCCUCACCCCAAACAAGCAUGCUUAUCCACCUGAGGUCAUCACAUUGAGUUAGGAAAGACAAUUCAAUGUGAUUGACACACCAUUAGCAACCCAGGAGAAGGAAUGGUUAACCCUAUGUAGACGAACCUAGGAAGAUUGCAUAGAGGGGACAGCAUUUAAAUUGGCUGGAGGAGAAAUUCUCCAGUCAGAAAAUAAGGGAAAAGGCAUUCAUUCCAAGCAGAGAAAUGUGCAUGUGUAGUGCCUGGAAGUUUGAAGAGCCGAGCAUUUCAGAGG